GAUUGAGUUUGAUCCUGGCUCAGAUUGAACGCUGGCGGCAUGCCUUACACAUGCAAGUCGAACGGUAACGCGGGGCAACCUGGCGACGAGUGGCGAACGGGUGAGUAAUAUAUCGGAACGUGCCCAGUAGUGGGGGAUAGCCCGGCGAAAGCCGGAUUAAUACCGCAUACGACCUACGGGUGAAAGGGGGGGAUCGCAAGACCUCUCGCUAUUGGAGCGGCCGAUAUCAGAUUAGGUAGUUGGUGGGGUAAAAGCCCACCAAGCCGACGAUCUGUAGCUGGUCUGAGAGGACGACCAGCCACACUGGGACUGAGACACGGCCCAGACUCCUACGGGAGGCAGCAGUGGGGAAUUUUGGACAAUGGGCGCAAGCCUGAUCCAGCCAUGCCGCGUGCGGGAAGAAGGCCUUCGGGUUGUAAACCGCUUUUGUCAGGGAAGAAAUCCCUUGGGAUAAUACCUCGGGGGGAUGACGGUACCUGAAGAAUAAGCACCGGCUAACUACGUGCCAGCAGCCGCGGUAAUACGUAGGGUGCAAGCGUUAAUCGGAAUUACUGGGCGUAAAGCGUGCGCAGGCGGUUGUGCAAGACAGAUGUGAAAUCCCCGGGCUCAACCUGGGAACUGCAUUUGUGACUGCACAGCUAGAGUACGGUAGAGGGGGAUGGAAUUCCGCGUGUAGCAGUGAAAUGCGUAGAUAUGCGGAGGAACACCGAUGGCGAAGGCAAUCCCCUGGACCUGUACUGACGCUCAUGC
rnacentral:rRNA from 1 species